AUUGUGACUGAUAUCAAGAACAUAAAUGCAAAACACAAGAACAGUAAAGUGAAUGUAGUAUUGCAAAAUUUCAUGUAUACCAUGUUAAGAGACAGCAAUGCUACUGCAGCCAAGAUAUCCUUGGAUGUGAUGAUUGAACUCUAUAGAAGAAACAUCUGGAAUGAUGCUAAAACUGUCAAUGUUAUCACAACGGCAUGCUUCUCUAAUGUCACCAAGAUAUUAGUUGCUGCUUUGACAUUCUUCCUGGGAAAAGAUGAAGAUGAGAAACAGGACAGCGACUCAGAAUCCGAGGAUGAAGGACCAACAGCGAGAGACCUUCUAGUGCAAUAUGCCACAGGGAAGAAAAGCUCCAAACACAAGAAAAAAUUGGAAAAGGCUAUGAAAGUGCUCAAGAAACAAAAGAAGAAGAAAAAGCCAGAAGUAUUUAACUUUUCAGCCAUCCACUUGAUUCAUGAUCCCCAAGAUUUUGCAGAAAAACUACUAAAACAACUCGAGAGUUCUAAAGAGAGAUUUGAGGUGAAGAUGAUGCUCAUGAACCUUAUCUCCAGAUUGGUGGGAAUUCAUGAGCUUUUCCUCUUUAACUUCUACCCCUUUGUUCAAAGGUUUCUGCAGCCCCACCAAAGAGAUGUAACAAAGAUCCUUCUGUUUGCUGCACAAGCAUCUCAUCACCUGGUACCCCCGGAGAUUAUUCAGUCAGUGCUCAUGACUGUGGCCAACAACUUCGUUACUGACAAGAACUCUGGCGAAGUGAUGACAGUAGGAAUCAAUGCUCGAUGCCCUCUAGCCAUGACUGAAGAACUUCUCCAAGACCUGGCCCAGUAUAAAACACACAAAGAUAAGAAUGUGAUGAUGUCCGCUAGAACUUUGAUUUAGCUUUUCCGAACACUAAAUCCUCAGAUGUUGCACAAGAAAUUCCGGGGAAAGCCUACAGAAGCCUCAGUAGAAACAAGGGUACAAGAAUAUGGGGAAUUAGAUGCUAAAGACUACAUUCCAGGAGCAGAAAUUCUGGAAGUUGAGAAAGAGGAAGAGAAUGCUGAAGAUGAUGAAGAUGGCUGGGAAAGUGCCAGUCUCAGUGAGGAGGAGGAGGAUGCCGAUGGUGAAUGGGUUGACCUUUGCAACAAGAAUAUCUUCAGACAUAUGUAA